rnacentral:rRNA from 1 species
UACGUAGGUGGCAAGCGUUGUCCGGCUUUACUGGGCGUAAAGCGUAUGCAGGCGGACCUUUAAGUCGGAUGUGAAAGGUGAGAGCUCAACUCUUACACUGCUCCCUAUACUGGGGGUCUUGAGUACCGGAGAGGACAAGGGAACAGGUCGUGUAGCGGUGAAAUGCGUUGAGAUGACUUGGAACACCAAUGGCGAAAGCACUUGUCUGGACGGAGACUGACGCUGAGAUACGAAAGCCAAGGGAGCGAACAGG